rnacentral:rRNA from 1 species
AGUGAACGCUGGCGGUAGGCCUAACACAUGCAAGUCGAACGGCAGCACAGUAAGAGCUUGCUCUUACGGGUGGCGAGUGGCGGACGGGUGAGGAAUACAUCGGAAUCUACUUUUUCGUGGGGGAUAACGUAGGGAAACUUACGCUAAUACCGCAUACGACCUACGGGUGAAAGCAGGGGAUCUUCGGACCUUGCGCGAUUGAAUGAGCCGAUGUCGGAUUAGCUAGUUGGCGGGGUAAAGGCCCACCACGGCGACGAUCCGUAGCUGGUCUGAGAGGAUGAUCAGCCACACUGGAACUGAGACACGGUCCAGACUCCUACGGGAGGAAGCAGUGGGGAAUAUUGGACAAUGGGCGCAAGCCUGAUCCAGCCAUACCGCGUGGGGGAAGAAGGCCUUCGGGUUGUAAAGCCCUUUUGUUGGGAAAGAAAAGCAGCAGGUUAAUACCCCGCUGUUCUGACGGUACCCAAAGAAUAAGCACCGGCUAACUUCGUG